ACAAAAAUUCCGACUCCGACACGUAAAAUACACAACUUCCAGAGUUUUCUGUUAUAAUAUCGUAUUAUCGUAAAAAAAUGAGUGAUUCCACUUCCAGUGAUGAAGAUGAUCUAACGCCUGUGGAUGUUGCACUUUCCUAGCUAUAGUCGGAAUAUUCAUGAAAUCGGCUACGCGCCCUGGGCGUGGGUAGUAGACUCGUCUGUUACUCAAUCGGUUUAUCCAGACCUAUCAGCAGUCACCAUCAGGACCAAGGACGCCCUGUAUUCAGAAGAAAAGGGCAGUCACGGAUUUUGUGAAAAGAAAAUAGAAUAGGGGCCGGAUGGACUAACACAAAAAUGAACAGAAGGUUACGCUAUCGUAUUGCGGUUUUAAUUAGACCCCACUCUGCACUCCAUAUAAUAUUUGUGGUUUUUACAAUCAAAUAUAGAUCAAUGAUCGAAAUUAAACUAU